GCCAGCGUAGCUCAGUUGGUAGAGCAAUGCUUUUGUAAAGCAAAGGUCGGGGGUUCGAAUCCCUUCGCUGGCUCCA
rnacentral:tRNA from 1 species